AUUAUUGCUGCUACACACUGUCAUGAUUUGUCUUGGAUGAACCCGGACACAGCACGCACACACAGAGCUGGUUUGCGAGUUUAUUGCACACGGUAGAUGAUGGAUGACAAGAACCAGAGUCAGUUACCAGACGGAGUAGGGUGCAGGAGCUGGCUGACGAGAACGGACCAGUACAGACAGAGCAGGAUCUGGAGACGGACUGGAAAAAAGGCAGGAGUGGUGUUCAAAAGACAGGAGCAAACUGACUGACAGGCGUGAUAUUGGACUUGACUGAAGACGAGCCGGCGAUGAGGAACAGACUGAGAUUGAUCAAAACUUUAUUCUGGAAUUUGGAGAAGAUAUAUCCUCAAAGCUUUUGGAGAGGUGGCCUACUAUUUUCAAACAGAAAGUAAUCCAGCAGAGGAAGACUCUUCUUACCUCAAGUAACCUUGAAGGAGUGAUCUACUGUGCUGAAGGAGCUUCAAAUGAGAAGGAAUUGGAAAACUUUGCAUUUGGCUGGGAUAGUGAUCUUGCUUCCAUCAUUCUCCUGCUCCACCUGAUUCCUCCUUCCUGUCAAGGCUGCAAAAGACCUGGCAAGGUUUCUACAUCCCAAGCUGAGAAGCACAUUGUGGUCUUCCAGAAGAGUGGAACAAGUAUUCAGCAACAUGUUGAAGCCAUCACCUCUACAACACAGCCCCAUCUUCUUGCUGUCAGGACGAAGAAAAGCACCAUCCACGAGUUCUUCAUUGUUCUGGACAAACAGGUCAUCCCAUGCAAAUCAGCAAGUUCACUGGGAGCUUUUGAUGAACUUUUCAAGGCUCACUUUGUAUUUGGUACAGUUUAUCAUCAUACAAUCCACAACAUGUACAUCUUCAUACAAAAAGCCAUCUACAAAAUAGAUGCUGGCAAAGUUCAGGAGACUCCACGUCUCAAAGAGAUAUGGGCUAGGCUGUUAAACUAAGCAGUGAAUGAAUCAGGCUGCUCUGGGCAACAAUUUUGCCUAUAAAUGUGAUUAGUUUCUUAUGGUCAGAUUUUUUUCUAUUUUACUAUCUUUAUAUUUUACUUGUUCACUCAAUAAGUUUAAACAAUAUGGGGAAGAUUUGUUUUGUUUGUCAGAAACAUUUGGUCAGUACCAACAUACUUGUUAGGCAUAUAAGAUUAGGUCAUCGUUUAUGUCCUGGUCAGUCACUUCACCUAAAAUAUGCUCAGAGAGGUUGCUGCCAUAUUUUUGUACGUUUUCAGGAUUCAGGAAACAUUUAAACACAAAACAUGAUGAGCAGACUGAACAUGAACCCAAAAAUGAUGAAAGUGUGGCAUCCGGUUUUGCUGCAGAUAAAAUGCUAGUUCAAGAUUCUGUGGACUCAACAAUUAAUUCAGAAGUUCUACCUUUGCCAAACAGCUGUACUCAUGACACAUGUGUAUCUGCUAUUUUACAGCUGCAAUUUGAUGGCCAGUCCACGUUAAAUAAUUUUAUAUCAUCAAUGGAAGAAGUAGUUCUAGAUAUACAAAGUCAUGCUAAAGCUGCAGCUUUAAGAUGUUUAUCUUCUGAGAACAUUUCCGUGAGAGCUAAAAUUGAAUAAAGUAUUGAAA